AGUGAACGCUGGCGGCAGGCCUAACACAUGCAAGUCGAACGAGUGGCGGACGGGUGAGUAAUGUCUGGGAAACUGCCCGAUGGAGGGGGAUAACUACUGGAAACGGUAGCUAAUACCGCAUACCAUCGGAUGUGCCCAGAUGGGAUUAGCUAUUAGGUGGGGGAACGGCUCACCUAGGCGACGAUCCCUAGCUGGUCUGAGAGGAUGACCAGCAACAAGGGAACUGAGACACGGUACAGAGUCCUACGGGAGGCAGCAGUGGGGAAUAUUGCACAAUGGGCGCAAGCCUGAUGCAGCCAUGCCGAGUGGAUGAAGAAGGCCUUCGGGUUGUAAAGUACUUUCAGCGAGGAGGCGUUACGCGCAGAAGAAGCACCGGCUAACUCCGUGCCAGCAGCCGCGGUAAUAC
rnacentral:rRNA from 1 species